AAAAACUUCAAAAAGCUCUCCCCUUCCCCAUUGUCCGGCGUUCAGUCUGGCCAUUGGCCGAUCAUCGGCCACCGCGCCGGUCGCCGAUCUCCAGCGUCAGCACCGCCAUCUGCGGUGGUCGGAAAAGGAGAAAAUCUCCUAUUCGGUCCCUUUGAAGCCCCUAAACCCAGAUCUGGACCCGAAGCCCACAAAACACUGCUGCAAGAGCCUCAAAUCUCCAAGAAACCUUUCGGUUUCCGACUGUUCACGGUGGUUUUGGGCACCACUCAGGUCGUUUCUUUCCCUUUUUUAUUUCAUUCGUAUGUACAUAAAAAAAAUGUAAAACUAAUAGUAGAUAAAUAAAAAAAAAUUGUUGAUAUCAACCUUUUUACUCUUCGAUUGAAUCUGUGAUUUUAUUCUCUUGCUCUUGCGUUUGUAAAGAAUGGUUGUUUUUUAUUGAUUUCGAAUCCGAUCCCGUUUACAGUACAUUGAGUGUGCUUUUAUAACCAAAGUAUCAACAAUAUAAAGAAACAAAUCUUUGAUUUGAUUUGCAAAUCUUUUCUUUCCAUAUACUGUCUUUUUCUUUCUUGAUGUGCAGGUACAAAGAUCAUACGGGGCUGCGGCGCGAACGAGGAAGGCUGCGGUUUACCCUAGAAACCCUAGGGUUUUCGAAACUACUUGGGCCACUACUAAUUUUGGGCCUAUUUUGUUGUAAUCGGGUUUGGGUUAAUUGGGCCACUAUUUUGUCUUAUUAAUUAGGCCAUACAGGCCUGCUUGUAAUUUGGGCCUUUUAGACCCGGACAAAAUCGGGUAUUUAC
rnacentral:lncRNA from 1 species